rnacentral:rRNA from 1 species
ACUCCUGCGGGAGGCAGCAGUGGGGAAUAUUGCACAAUGGGCGCAAGCCUGAUGCAGCCAUGCCGCGUGUAUGAAGAAGGCCUUCGGGUUGUAAAGUACUUUCAGCGGGGAGGAAGGCGAUAAGGUUAAUAACCUUGUCGAUUGACGUUACCCGCAGAAGAAGCACCGGCUAACUCCGUGCCAGCAGCCGCGGUAAUACGGAGGGUGCAAGCGUUAAUCGGAAUUACUGGGCGUAAAGCGCACGCAGGCGGUCUGUCAAGUCGGAUGUGAAAUCCCCGGGCUCAACCUGGGAACUGCAUUCGAAACUGGCAGGCUAGAGUCUUGUAGAGGGGGGUAGAAUUCCAGGUGUAGCGGUGAAAUGCGUAGAGAUCUGGAGGAAUACCGGUGGCGAAGGCGGCCCCCUGGACAAAGACUGACGCUCAGGUGCGAAAGCGUGGGGAGCAAACAGGAUUAGAUACCCCUGUAGUCCCA